GAUGAACGCUGGCGGCGUGCUUAACACAUGCAAGUCGAACGAAGUGUUUAUUCAAAGUUCUUCGGGAUAGAGCAUAAAUUACUUAGUGGCGGACGGGUGAGUAACGCGUGGGUAACCUGCCUCACACAGGGGAUAACAGUUGGAAACGACUGCUAAUACCGCAUAAGACCACAGCACCGCAUGGUGCAGGGGUAGAAGAUUUAUCGGUGUGAGAUGGACCUGCGUCUGAUUAGAUAGUUGGUGGGGUAGAAGCCUACCAAGUCAACGAUCAGUAGCCGACCUGAGAGGGUGAUCGGCCACAUUGGGACUGAGACACGGCCCAAACUCCUACGGGAAGCAGCAGUGGGGAAUAUUGGACAAUGGGGGAAACCCUGAUCCAGCAACGCCGCGUGAGUGAAGAAGUAUUUCGGUAUGUAAAGCUCUAUCAGCAGGGAAGAAAAUGACGGUACCUGACUAAGAAGCCCCGGCUAACUACGUG
rnacentral:rRNA from 1 species